CACUUGGAAGAAGGUUUCACAGCAGUCCCUUAGGCCUCUUCUUCUUCGUUUUUUCUAAUUCAUUCACUUCCACUUCAAGACUGGUUCUGAACGCCGCGUAACAUCAUCUUCAACCAACCUCCACCGUACGUACCUUUCGGUGCGACCACGCCAAGACGUAGUAGAUUUGUCGCCUUGGGUAGUGUAGCCAGACUCGGAGAAGGUUGAAGUAGAUUAAGAAAUAGUUGAACUAUGAUUCAUACUAAAUAAGCUGGCCGCGUAGGCCAUUCAGCACGAGUCCGAUCGUCCAAUAUGAAUCAUUUUGGUUCCAAAAUAGAUCUACUUCCAUGGUCAUGGUGGAGCAACAAUUAGCAUGAAAGUUCCAUGUUUGGUUUGAGACUCAUCUCUAAAAGGCAGCUCCUUCACAAAAUGCUUACUACUAUUUUUUUUGGGAAAUACUCUUUUUUAUUUAUCAAAAAGCAUAUCAAAUCAUCACUUACAACAAGAAAACAAACAAGCAAAGCAUAAAAUUAGGUCUGCCGCUCCCCUCUUUCCGAUUUCCGCCGCCUCGCCCAACCGCUUCUUGUAAGCCUCCCUUUUACCACUAAACUCGUCUUCAUAUUUCAGAUCUAAGCCUUCAAUUCCCCCUUUAUUUUUAUUUCUUCCAGAUCUACUAAUAUAUGUAACUUCUAUUAAUUCAAUCUCCUAUCUCUAGCUCAUAACAUACAACUAUGCCCUCUCUUUCAUGGAAAACACAAAUUUUCACUUAUUUUUUACUCUUUUCACAUAUUUUUCACUCCAAUUCUUGAUAAGUAUUAUCAUGGGCUAGUAGCUAGUGUAAUGGAGUACUAUUUUCCCAUGUUUUCUUUCUUAGAGAAAAUCAAAUAAAAAAAAGUGGGUGUGAUAUAAAAUUUUCCCACAUUUUCCUAUGACUCCAACCUAAACCUUUUCUCAAGAUGUAAAUACUUAACUGAUUAAUUUCCUAAUCAGUGUUACACGUCUGCUCAUCUUGGAUACGGCUUAGGUUUAGAUUAUUUUUGGUUAUUUAAUUUAUGUGUUGUAUUUACAAUCUGUGUCAGCAUGAUGGGUAAAAUGUAUGUAGUCUUUAAUUUGUGGGUAAAGUGGCUGGCAUUUACAAGAGCUGGGAGGCUUGCAAAGCUCAAGUCGAUUGAUUUCCCAAUGCAAUACAUUGUAAAUUUGACAGCGAAAAAGAGGCUUUGUCUACUUUUGGAAGGUUUACUGCUGAGAAAGAAUGGUUAUCCAAGAAUUCACUCUACAAAUGCCCAUUAUGUGCCCACAUCAUGAAAGCUGAAAUUUCCAACUCUAGGAAUACCAUUGGCCAAUAUUAUUUUCGUUGUGGAACUAUUAACUGUGGCUAUUUCACAUUAAUAUUCUUGGUUCAUUUGAUGAAACAAGAGCACCAAAGUCCACACGGAGUUGAUGAAGAAGCUAUUUGCUCUAGUUCUAGCGAAUCAACUCUUGAGGCUAAGCUUAAAGCAGCAAAACAAGAGAGAGAUGUUUACAAGGAUUUGGUGCACUCAUUUGCAAAAGAGAUGCAUUUAAAGGAUUAGGGCCGGUUCAUGUAAAAAACUAGACUUAAUUAAUAUUAUAUGUAAUCAAAAUUUCAAUAUUUUGGGA